UGGGGAAUAUUGGACAAUGGGCGCAAGCCUGAUCCAGCCAUGCCGCGUGAGUGACGAAGGCCUUAGGGUUGUAAAGCUCUUUUGGCGGGGAAGAUAAUGACGGUACCCGCAGAAUAAGCUCCGGCUAACUUCGUGCCAGCAGCCGCGGUAAUACGAAGGGAGCUAGCGUUGUUCGGAAUCACUGUGCGUAAAGCGCACGUAGGCGGACUUUCAAGUCAGGGGUGAAAUCCCGGGGCUCAACCUCGGAACUGCCUUUGAUACUGUUGGUCUCGAGUCCGGAAGAGGUGAGUGGAAUUCCUAGUGUAGAGGUGAAAUUCGUAGAUAUUAGGAAGAGCACCGGUGGCGAAGGCGGCUCACUGGUCCGGUACUGACGCUGAGGUGCGAAAGCGUGGGGAGCAAACA
rnacentral:rRNA from 1 species